AUACGUAGGUGGCAAGCGUUGUCCGGAUUUACUGGGCGUAAAGAGUAUGUAGGCGGAUAUUUAAGUCAGAUGUGAAAUUCCCGGGCUUAACCUGGGCGCUGCAUUUGAUACUGGAUAUCUAGAGUGUGGGAGAGGAAAGCGGAAUUCCUAGUGUAGCGGUGAAAUGCGUAGAGAUUAGGAAGAACACCAGUGGCGAAGGCGGCUUUCUGGACCAUAACUGACGCUGAGAUACGAAAGCGUGGGGAGCAAACAGGAUUAGAUACCCUGGUAGUCCACGCCGUAAACGGUGAAUACUAGGUGUCGGGGGUAUUACCACCUUCGGUGCCGCAGCAAACGCAGUAAGUAUUCCGCCUGGGGAGUACGGCCGCAAGGCUGAA
rnacentral:rRNA from 1 species